AUUGAACGCUGGCGGCAGGCUUAACACAUGCAAGUCGAGCGAGCGGCGGACGGGUGAGUAAUGUCUGGGAAACUGCCUGAUGGAGGGGGAUAACUACUGGAAACGGUAGCUAAUACCGCAUACCAUCAGAUGCGCCCAGAUGGGAUUAGCUCGUAGGUGGGGUACUGGCUCACCUAGGCGACGAUCCCUAGCUGGUCUGAGAGGAUGACCAGCCAGACGGGAGCUGAGACACGGCGCAGACGCCUAAGGGGGGCAGCAGUGGGGAAUAUUGCACGAUGGGGGCAAGCCUGAUGCAGCCAUGCCGCGUGUGUGAAGAAGGCCUGCGGGUUGUAAAGCAAUUUCAGCGAGGAGGCGUUACCCGAAGAAGAAGCACCGGCUAACUCCGUGCCAGCAGCCGCGGUAAUAC
rnacentral:rRNA from 1 species